CGCCUACGGGGCGCAGCAGUAGGGAAUCUUCCACAAUGGACGAAAGUCUGAUGGAGCAACGCCGCGUGAGUGAAGAAGGGUUUCGGCUCGUAAAGCUCUGGUGGUAGUGAAGAAAGAUAGAGGUAGUAACUGGCCUUUAUUUUACGGUAAUUACUUAGAAAGUCACGGCUAACUACGUGCCGGCAGCCGCGGUAAUACGCAGGUGGCAAGCGUUUUUCUGAUUUAUUGGGCGUAAAGCGAGUG
rnacentral:rRNA from 1 species